GGGGGUGUAGCUCAGCUGGGAGAGCACCUGCUUUGCAAGCAGGGGGUCAGGAGUUCGAUCCUCCUCAUCUCCA
rfam:Ruminococcus albus 8 contig00100, whole genome shotgun sequence.